rnacentral:rRNA from 1 species
GGAUUAGAUACCCUGGUAGUCCACGCCGUAAACGAUGUCUACUUGGAGGUUGUGCCCUUGAGGCGUGGCUUCCGGAGCUAACGCGUUAAGUAGACCGCCUGGGGAGUACGGCCGCAAGGUUAAAACUCAAAUGAAUUGACGGGGGCCCGCACAAGCGGUGGAGCAUGUGGUUUAAUUCGAUGCAACGCGAAGAACCUUACCUGGUCUUGACAUCCACAGAACUUUCCAGAGAUGGAYUGGUGCCUUCGGGAACUGUGAGACAGGUGCUGCAUGGCUGUCGUCAGCUCGUGUUGUGAAAUGUUGGGUUAAGUCCCGCAACGAGCGCAACCCUUAUCCUUUGUUGCCAGCGRUUAGGYCGGGAACUCAAAGGAGACUGCCAGUGAUAAACUGGAGGAAGGUGGGGAUGACGUCAAGUCAUCAUGGCCCUUACGACCAGGGCUACACACGUGCUACAAUGGCGCAUACAAAGAGAAGCGACCUCGCGAGAGCAAGCGGACCUCAUA